UGGUUCGAUUAUGGCUCAGGAUUGAACGCUGGUGAUGCUUUACACAUGCAAGUCGAACGGCAGCACGGACUUCGGUCUGGUGUGGCGAGUGGCGAACGGGUAGCAAUGUAUCGGAACGUGCCUAGUAGCGGGGGAUAACUACGCGAAAGCGUAGCUACCGCAUACGCCCUUCGGGGGAAAGCGGGGACCUUCGCCCCUGCACUAUUAGAGCGGCCGAUAUCGGAUUAGCCAGUUGGUGGGGUAACGGCUCACCAAGGCGACGAUCCGUAGCUGGUUUGAGAGGACGACCAGCCACACUGGGACUGAGACAUGAACCCAGACUCCUACGGGAGGCAGCAGUGGGGAAUUUUGGACAAUGGGGAAACCCUGAUCCAGCCAUCCCGCGUGUGCGAUGAAGGCCUUCGGGCUAAAAAGACCUUUGGCAGGAAAGAAACGGCACGGGAUAAUACCCCGUGCAACUGACGGCCUGCAGAAUAAGCACCGGCUAACUACGUGCCACAGCAGCCGCGGUAAUACGUAGGGUGCAAGCGUUAACGGGAAGACGGGCGGAAGCGUGCGUGCGGUUCGGCAAAGAUGUGAAAUCCCAGAGCUAACUUUGGAACUGCAUUUUUAACUACCGAGCUAGAGUGUGUCAGAGGGAGGUGGAAUUCGCGUGUAGCAGUGGGAAAUGUAGAUAUGCGGAGGGAACACCGAUGGCGAAGGCAGCCUCCUGGGAUAACACUGACGCUCAUGCACGAAAGCGUGGGGAGCAAACAGGAUUAGAUACCCUGGUAGUCCGCCUCAAACGAUGUCAACUAGCUGUUGGGGCCUUCGGGCCAUGGUAGCGGGCAGCUAACGCGUGAAGUUGACCGCCUGGGAGUACGGUCAAGAUUAAAACCUAAAGGAAUUGACGGGGACCCGCACAAGCGGUGGAUGAUGGGAUUAAUUCGAUGCAACGCGAAAAACCUUACCUACUCCUGAUGUCUGGAAUCCCGAAGAGAUUUGGGAGUGCUCGCAAGAGAACCGGAACACCACAGGUGUUGGUAUGGCUGUCGUCAGCUCGUGUCGUGAGAUGGGUUGUCCCGCAACGAGCGGCAACCCUUGUCAUUAGUUGCUACGAAAGGGCACUCUAUCGAGACUGCCGGUGACAAACCGAGGAAGGUGGGAUGACGUCAAGUCCUCAUGGCCCUUAUGGGUAGGGCUUCACACGUCAUACAAUGGUCGGGACAGAGGGUCGCCAACCCGCGAGGGGGAGCCAAUCCCAGAACCCGAUCGUGGUCCGGAUCGCAGUCUGCAACUCGACUGCGUGAAGUCGGAAUCGCUAGUAAUCGCGGAUCAGCAUGUCGCGGUGAAUACGUUCCCGGGUCUUGUACACACCGCCCGUCACACCAUGGGAGUGGGUUUUACCAGAAGCAGCGGCCUAACCGUGGCGAGGGCGAUUACCACGGUAGGAUUCAUGACUGGGGUGAAGUCGUAACAAGGUAGCCCUG
rnacentral:rRNA from 1 species